rnacentral:rRNA from 1 species
GACGAACGCUGGCGGCGUGCCUAAUACAUGCAAGUCGAGCGAAUCUUGAGGGGCUUGCCCCUUAAGAUUAGCGGAGGACGGGUGAGUAACACGUGGGCAACCUGCCUGUAAGACUGGGAUAACACCGGGAAACCGGUGCUAAUACCAGAUAAUUCUUUACAUCUCAUGAGGUAAAGCUGAAAGUCGGUUUUUAGCUGACACGUACAGAUGGGCCCGCGUCGCAUUAGCUAGUCGGUGAGGUAACGGCUCACCAAGGCGACGAUGCGUAGCCGACCUGAGAGGGUGAUCGGCCACACUGGGACUGAGACACGGCCCAGACUCCUACGGGAGGCAGCAGUAGGGAAUCUUCCGCAAUGGACGAAAGUCUGACGGAGCAACGCCGCGUGAGUGAUGAAGGCCUUCGGGUCGUAAAACUCUGUUGUUAGGGAAGAACAAGUAUCGGAGUAACUGCCGGUACCUUGACGGUACCUAACCAGAAAGCCACGGCUAACUACGUGCCAGCCGCCGCCGUAAAAC